rnacentral:tRNA from 1 species
GUGUGUGUAGCUCAGUAGAGUGCAUGCUUGGCAUGCACGAGGUCCUGGGUUCAAUCCCCUGUACCUCCA